AAUCCAUCCAAUUAUUUUAUACAACCCAAAAUGUGAAUAGACUAAAUCUACUUGGAGAAAAUAAAUAUGUAAAACAAAUUUUAUAAGUACAAGUCCAACAUGCCACCAUUUGAUUUCAUUUUAAACGUAAGCAAAAGAACACAACAUAUUGAGAGACAGUAUGUUUAUUGGCUAAGGCAGUGGGCUGUAAGAUCAUUUACUAAAUAUGUCGCCACGGACAAAAUUACUUCAUGUCUCAUCAUUUCAGUUUUCUUAUCUGUAAAGCAGCAAUAAUAAUUACAAAUGCCUGAUUCAGGUAUUUUUCUAAAGAUGAUUUAUGAAAAGCCUUUAAAAGAAUGACUGCAAUUUUCAAGUUUUCAACACAUAUAGCCAUUUAUUUUCAUGGUUGUGUCUGAUAAAAUCCAUAUUUAGUAAAAGUAUAGAAAUAAGAGGAAAAUAGGUUCACCAAACGCAAAAGAAUCAUUACAUGACAAAGGGAAAGAAAGGACUAAAGAUGGUAAAGAGGGGCUUAAGUCUGCUGUGUUCUUCGCUAUUCAAUUUCGGUGAUUAGAGAUUUGUUGCCUAAGGAGUUGAAGAGUCCAUGGUCGGCACAGUUCCUGCUUGUGCAUCAAAUCGUAUCAACUAUUUCUAGUGUCUCUGAGUUACUCCCAAGUGUGUCAUUAGCUCUUAUUGAGACUAACUCACCAAUCCUUGGUCAUUCUUGGACACAUCAGGACAAAUUCAACAAUAUUUCUUCCCUCAAAAUGUAAUACGAAGGUCUAAUUGUUUUGCAUAUAGGAAGAACGUUUGUCAUUUCCACCUUCCCAGUGGAUUGUUAUAAUUACGUAUUAAAAACAUCCAACAAGUUUAUCUGGGGUUAUUAACAGAUCCGCUCCCACCUGCAUUCCUCAGUUCAAAUGCAGAGUAUGUAUUUUCGACGAAGUGGUUGCAGGCUCUGGGUUCUCAUUAAGUAUGGAGCUAUACGUGGCAGCUACUCUUGUCUGGAUAUUUUCUGAGAUCCUGGUUGAUAACCUCCUCAUUCACUAGUAAGAGGUUAAAAAAAAAUUAGGGUUAAGUCUAUACUGAGUUCUUCAGACAGUGAGAUGACACCCAUUAAAAUGGCUCAUUAGGUGGAAUUGUCAUGGGACAGUCUGUAUUUCCAAGGCUCUUCGUGAAGCCAAAGAGAGUGCACUUGUUAGCAACUGGUGAACUCCCAGACAGAAAUAAUUCAGAGUAUGUGAUAAUAAGAAUGACUGGCCAGGCCCUCUCUCGAAGAAAAAAAAGUAAUGAGGAGAACCCUCAAGGAGAAAUAAAAUAGACCUUAUACACAGAAAGAUCCAAAAUUAAUCAACAUAAUUAUGGCGAAAGCUUAGAGGACAAUUAAAAGAACACUGGUGCCUGAAACUCUAUGUUGUUGGGGAUUUCAAUUUCAAUUUCAAUUUGAAAAGGGUAUUCAAACACAAGGAAACUGAGACCAAAUUCUUUUCAACCAUUUACAAACCAUUACAAGCAGAAUUAAAAGUAGAUUCACUAAACUGGAGGAAGAAAGAGAUGUUUAGGAGAAGAGCUAAAAUCUUAGAAGACUCAGUAGUCCUGUGGGAAGAGGGAAAGCAUUUGGAUUCAACUGCUCUCAGAGGAUUAUUGGAAAACACACAGCUGUUUUCUCAAUUGCUACCAAGGUAGACAAGAUAACUGGGCCCCCAGACGCCCUUGAGAAAGAAACAUGGGAUCUCAGAGGGCACUGGGAAGGUAGGGACGGCUCUCAAAACCAGACCUACAGGAAGGGCUACAUACUAUCUGGACAGUUUUGACAAAAGACGAAUUGAAAAUACUCAAAUUAUUAUAUAAGCAUUAGCUAUAGCCGAUUGCUUAAAGGGGCAUGACUGAUAUAUUUAUAAAAUUAUGAUUCUUAUGAAAGGCUUAGGGAACAUGGGACAUAUUCAAGGGGAAGCAAGCCAAACAACGCGAAUACCUUGUAGAUGGGGUUGCCCAGAAGAGGAAAUUGAAGAUAAGCAAUAUUUGUUUUAGUGGUGCUUGUUUCAGAAAACCCAGACAUUAACUUCACAUCUCUCACUUGGGAAGAUUGCAGAGAUGAAAUCUAGAAGAACAUAUUAGAGAGAUUCAUGAUUUGGGCUAGGAUGCAAACAUAAAACUAAAGAAGGUAUUCAACUCCAGUGUGUAUUGUGUGUUAGCUGUGUUUGAGAAGCAACAGGAUGCAUUUUAAAGGCAUUUAAAAUUUUUGGAACUUCAAUUGAAUCUUUCUUAAAGGAUUACAUAAUUGCAGAGGGAAAUAAAAUGAUUAAAUGUGUAUAUCUUCCUUGGAGAAAUAACAUGUUGUAAUGGGAAUAAAUACUAUUCAAGGCCUGGAACGUUCUAGAUUCGAAAAAAGGGAGUUGAUGAAAAAGAAAUUAAUGAUUUUGAUUGGUUUUUCUAGAAUUUUAUCAUGGAAGUAGUAUGUAUUCAAAUUUGGGGCAGUUCUGGAUGUUGGCAUUUUAUUUUUUAUAGUUCAUUACGUCACAAGUAUGUCAUUGAACCUCUGUUUUGUCAUAAUGGGACAAAUGAAAAGGGAAAGGGGGGUGGAAAGCUAAUUCCCUUUUUCAGUUUUUGACUUUUUCAGCCAAAGCCAGCUUGAUCUUGGAGUUACUGAAUUACUGAUGCAGGAAAACGGAUGUGGGGCGUGUGGAGGGCCAUGUCCCAGGUCUCGAUUGAGCCCCUGGGACAUGCCCUGCCAUGUGGGUCCUUGGCUUCACGCAGAAAAGAAUUCAAGAGCGAGCCACAGUUGAAUGAAGGUAGAUUUAUUCAGAGAGAUACAUUGAAAGGCAAGAGAAAGGCCACGAGGUGUGGGGGUUGGUGCUCAGAUUGAAAGUAGGUACACAUUCCAUAGACAGAGUGUGGGCCAUCUUGGAAGAGAGAGAGAGGGGGGCAUUGGCUGCGAGGCACCUUGUUGCCAGUUUUUAUGGGCUUGGUGGCUUCAUAUGCUAAUAAGUGGAAGGACCAGUCUAAGUAACCUGGGGAAGGGGCUGGGAUUCCCAGGAAGUUGGCCAUUUCCCACUCUGACCUUUUGUGGCCAGCCUUGGGACUGCCAUGGUGCCUGUGGGCAUGUUAUUCACCGUGCUUUUAUUACAAUGGGCAUAUAUAUUGAAGCUCAAGCUCUGCUAGAAGUUAAAUCUCCCAUCAUCUGAGCCUCAAGGCCCCCUGGGGGUUGAAUCUCUCACCAUUUUGUUGUUAAUUGCUGUAGCAUUCCUUGAAUGGCUGUGCCCUGCCCUCUUCCUGUCUCACAGGGAAGAUGUUUUCUAUUCUCCUGGCUCAGAAUUAUGGUAAAAGUAGUGAGCGGACUCUAUUCAGUGAAGAAACCUGGCUGCUAGGGAAAAGAUAGUCCGGUGGGGGGCAGGGGGUGUGUUCAACACAGGGGAUGGGGGCUCCCGCUCGACUGCAUGUCUUAGUCCCGCCUUUACUGGCACCAGCGCUGAUAUUUGUGUAUUAGUUUAUCUGACUUCAGUAUCUCGCAAAUGUUUUAAAUCUUAAAAACAGGAGCUACUUUUCAACUCCUGAAACAUCAACAAACAAGACUCCCCAGUGUCCCUGUUACCAGGGUAACACAGCACAGUUCACUUGGGGUCUUGACAAAGGGCUGAUUUCUAGGGACCCUGCCCCAAUGGCCACCAGGAGAUGCUGUGGUUCCACGCUUCUCGUCUGUGGAGGUGCUGAGAGCUGCCUGGCAGUCGGGGUUAGCCAGAAGCCUGGGCUUGGUCUCUGAAUCAUGAUCCUGAUUUGCAGACACGGAGCAUGUGUUGGAGAGAGAAAGAGGGAGCACCUGAGACGGUGGACAGCGGCUAACACGGUGAUGUCACUGCCAGGCCACACCUAGGGGGCCACCAGGAUAUGAAUUUGCUUUCAUUUCUGCUCACCCUCGCAAGGCCUCUCAUCUGGAAAAGUUCUCAUUUUUAUCUGGACCCUGCCAUGGUUUCCAGGCUUCUCAGCUUGGUGUCCCUUUGCCUCCUGGGAGCAAGACACCUGUUGGCUGGAGUCGCUCAGUUCCCCAGCCACAGGGUCAUAGAGAAGAAACAGGCCGUAGUGUGAGAUGCGACCCGGUUUCUGGACAUGAGUAUCUUGUUUGGUACCAACAUGCUGUGGGGAG